ACGGAAGGCAGCAGUGGGGAAUAUUGGACAAUGGGCGAAAGCCUGAUCCAGCGACGCCGCGUGAGUGAAGAAGUAUUUCGGUAUGUAAAGCUCCAUCAGCAGGGAAGAUAAUGACGGUACCUGACCAAGAAGCACCGGCUAAAUACGUGCCAGCAGCCGCGGUAAUACGUAUGGUGCAAGCGUUAUCCGGAUUUACUGGGUGUAAAGGGAGCGUAGACGGCAUGGCAAGUCUGAAGUGAAAGCCCGGGGCUCAACCCCGGGGCUGCUUUGGAAACUGCUAAGCUAGAGUGCAGGAGGGGUGAGUGGAAUUCCUAGUGUAGCGGUGAAAUGCGUAGAUAUUAGGAGGAACACCAGUGGCGAAGGCGGCUUACUGGACUGUAACUGACGUUGAGGCUCGAAAGCGUGGGGAGCAAACAGGAUUAGAUACCCUGGUA
rnacentral:rRNA from 1 species